rnacentral:rRNA from 1 species
AUUGAACGCUGGCGGCAUGCCUUACACAUGCAAGUCGAACGGUAACAGGUCUUCGGAUGCUGACGAGUGGCGAACGGGUGAGUAAUACAUCGGAACGUGCCUAGUAGUGGGGGAUAACUACUCGAAAGAGUGGCUAAUACCGCAUGAGAUCUACGGAUGAAAGCAGGGGAUCGCAAGACCUUGUGCUACUAGAGCGGCCGAUGGCAGAUUAGGUAGUUGGUGGGAUAAAGCUUACCAAGCCGACGAUCUGUAGCUGGUCUGAGAGGACGAUCAGCCACACUGGGACUGAAACACGGCCCAGACUCCUAUGGGAGGCAGCAGUGGGGAAUUUUGGACAAUGGGCGAAAGCCUGAUCCAGCAAUGCCGCGUGCAGGAUGAAGGCCUUCGGGUUGUAAACUGCUUUUGUACGGAACGAAAAGCCCCGGGUUAAUACCCUGGGGUCAUGACGGUACCGUAAGAAUAAGCACCGGCUAACUACGUGCCAGCAGCCGCCGUAA